UGGAAGUGAAGUUAGAGUGGGGAUUUGGGUCUGGGUAGGAACAGGCUCAAAGAAGAAUGGUUCUGAGACUCAAAUCAAGGACUGGUUAUUUAGACAGUCUGUAAUAAAGACUGGGUUGUGAAGUACAGUUCCGGGAAGGAACUGGGUUCAAAGUUGGAACUAAGAACAUCCCUGCCAUCACUGCUUGGCUUGAUGACAUAGUUUGAAAGUGGUUGUAUGUCUCACUCCCGCCGCCUCAGUACCAUGAAAAUGCUGAGCACCACCCCACUGCAAGAUUGGGGGUGGGGUCACAUUGUCUUUCAUCUCAGACUACAAACUGUCUUGGACUGCCUCCGAAAUGGUCUGAUAGCAUGGAUUUUCAUGUUAUCUCAUUCUGCUGGAUAUGGAUUGCCCACCAUGCAGGCAAACAGUACUUUUUUGCAACUGCAAGAUCCACUUCAGCUAAACACCAUGGCAAGUAAAUGUAUUAAUUUUGCAUAGAUUAUCUGUGUAUAUAUUAUAUUAUAUUAUUUAUUUAUUACAUUUCUAUACCACCCAAAACUUGCAUCUCUGGGCAGUUUACAAUUAAAAUUUAAAACAUCAAAUCACUUAACAAUUAAAAUAAUUUGAAACAUUAAAAAUUUUAAAAUAUUUAAAAUGUAAUAUUUAAAAAGGAAAGGGGGGGAAAGAAAAAAGCUUUUUCUUUUCUUUUUAGAACCAUAGAACUAAUUAAAAGCCAGGCAGAAUGAGUCUUCAGGGCCUUUUUAAAAGUUGCCAGAGCUAAGACCUUUUGCUAUGAGCUAAAGGUUGCUAUGAGCUAAGUAAGACCUUUUGGCGUUCUUGACAUAUGUAUUAUCAAAUUAUUUCAAGGCUGAUGCCCAUAUUUUUAUUUAUUUUUCAAACAAGGUCAUUUUAUAUCCUGGACAUGCAAUUAGUAAUAUGGCAACAACAAAUUUUAAAAUUUUAUCUGCAUGCACAUGUACACACACAAAACACACACACAUACACACAGACAUUAUAUACCACAGUGGGAAAAGGAGGCUUGGCACUGUCUAUAUUUGUACUUGUAUUAUUCUGUUGCACAACUUGGGAAUUUAUUAUUUGUACUUUUUUUGUUGCUUUUACCUGGAACAGUAAAGUACAAUGUCCUGGGUUAAAAUAGAGCACCAAUAAGUUAAAUAAUCAUACAUUGGAAGCAGUCCUCUGAACAGAGAAAUCUGAGUCACUGGUUGAUUCAUCUAGUAGGAUAAACCAACUAGUGACUCAGAAUUUUCUAUCUAGAAAUUUAUAGAUAGGCCUGAUUAUAAAAAUUCAGAAUAAAUGGAGGAAACAUCUUUCUCAAAGGGCCUCUUAGUAAAGUUCUUACUUAGUAACCUGCCAUUUUCAGGGAACCUGUUAUUUAAAGUUUCAUUUUUAUUUAGAUAUUACUUGGUUGAAGAUAUUCAGACUAAGGUAAAGUGUAUUCACUUUUAGGAUGCACAUAUAACAGACAAACUUCAAACUACAUUUGGAAAUAAAAUUUUAUGACAGAA